AUUGGCAGCCACAUUUCUGUCAGUCUGCCCCAGGGCAGCUGUGGCUACAGAUGUAUUUACCACCAUCAGAGAGUGAAUGUGAGAGCGAAUGAAUAAUGGAUUAAUAAUGUAAAGGGCUUUGGGUGCCUUAAAAAGUGCUAAAGAAAUCUAAUCCCUUAUUAUUAUUAUUAUUAUUAUUAUUA